rnacentral:rRNA from 1 species
UCUGUUGUUAGGGAAGAACAAGUACCAGAGUAACUGCUGGUACCUUGACGGUACCUAACCAGAAAGCCACGGCUAACUACGUGCCAGCAGCCGCGGUAAUACGUAGGUGGCAAGCGUUGUCCGGAAUUAUUGGGCGUAAAGCGCGCGCAGGUGGUUCCUUAAGUCUGAUGUGAAAGCCCACGGCUCAACCGUGGAGGGUAAUUGGAAACUGGGGAACUUGAGUGCAGAAGAGGAAAGUGGAAUUCCAAGUGUAGCGGUGAAAUGCGUAGAGAUUUGGAGGAACACCAGUGGCGAAGGCGACUUUCUGGUCUGUAACUGACACUGAGGCGCGAAAGCGUGGGGAGCAAACAGGAUUAGAUACCCUGGUAGUCCACGCCGUAAAC